AAUAUAAUGACUUUUUAAUAUAACUUGAACUGUUCUGUACCCAAAGUUGGAUUUACUCAUGUAGUUUGUUCAAUCAGAACCAACAUAUUUUAUAAUUAAGCCUCACACCUGCACAGUCUCUAUAUUAAAGUAUUAAUAAGUCUAUCUUAAGCUUUCACAGAAUCAUUUAGGAUGGAAAAAACCUUGAAGAGUAUCCAGUCCAACCUCUGACUGACUGAUCACCACCCUAUCAACUAAACCAUAGAACUAAGUGCCAUGUCCAGUCAUUUCUUGAACACCUCCAUAGACAAAAGCUGGCAGGGAGUUGCUGAUCAUGCUCACGGGCAGACUGGGUAUCAUUUAGAAGGUGUGUGAACACCGUGCAAAUCCUGAUGCAGAUUGGCCUCACUGAUUUUUGCUGUUGACAAAGUGAGAGAAGAUGCAUGUCAUAAGAGACCUGAGCUGCUCUGAGGAAGUUGAAAUGCAUUUGAGGAUGUUGUCAUAGAAAUGAAAAAAGAAAACAUCUGAAUCUCAGAUAUUGGGUAACUUCCAGAUAACAAUGUGCAAUUCUGACCUCAUUAAUAUUUGGAAUUUUUGUCAAGUAUGCAUGCCAUAUGCCUACAUCUCCAGCAUCCCACUUCAAUGGAAACAAAAAACCCAUCAAAUUACCACUG